rnacentral:lncRNA from 1 species
GGAGAUGUCCUGUGGAACCAGCUGCUUCAAGCUCCUGUGGCUGAUGGACUGUACCCUUGAUCUGAUGAAAGGAAUCCACUCUAUCUUGCAAAGUGCAGCAGAAGAAACCUAAGACCACAGAAAGACCUGAAAGCCUCUGCCACAGCUCCCUGUGAAGAGUGGGUACCACCACCCUUGGCUGAAGACGUGCUUUGUGUCCCCCUGAGCCCUCUGCA